AAACUAACAAGGAUUCCCCUAGUAGCGGCGAGCGAAGCGGGAAGAGCUCAAAUUUAUAAUCUGGCACCUUCGGUGUCCGAGUUGUAAUCUCUAGAAGUGUUUUCCGCGUUGGACCGCACACAAGUCUGUUGGAAUACAGCGGCAUAGUGGUGAAACCCCCGUAUAUGGUGCGGACGCCCAGCGCUUUGUGAUACACUUUCAAUGAGUCGAGUUGUUUGGGAAUGCAGCUCAAAUUGGGUGGUAAAUUCCAUCUAAAGCUAAAUAUUGGCGAGAGACCGAUAGCGAACAAGUACCGUGAGGGAAAGAUGAAAAGCACUUUGGAAAGAGAGUUAACAGUACGUGAAAUUGUUGGAAGGGAAACGCUUGAAGUCAGACUUGCUUGCCGGAGCUUGCUUCGGUUUGCAGGCCAGCAUCAGUUUUCCGGGGUGGAUAAUGACGGUUUGAAGGUAGCAGUCUCGGCUGUGUUAUAGCUUUCCGUUGGAUACAUCCUGGGGGACUGAGGAACGCAGCGUGCUUUUUGCGAAAGACUCGUC
rnacentral:rRNA from 2 species